UACGAAGGGGGCUAGCGUUGCUCGGAAUUACUGGGCGUAAAGGGCGCGUAGGCGGUCGUGACAAGUCACUUGUGAAAUCUCCGGGCUUAACUCGGAACGGUCAAGUGAUACUGUCGGACUAGAGUACAGAAGGGGCAACUGGAAUUCUCGGUGUAGCGGUGAAAUGCGUAGAUAUCGAGAGGAACACCUGCGGCGAAGGCGGGUUGCUGGGCUGAUACUGACGCUGAGGCGCGAAAGCCCAGGGGAGCGAACGGG
rnacentral:rRNA from 1 species